UAGAGAUGUUUCUUUAAAGCUAUGUGGCAG
rnacentral:piRNA from 1 species